ACGGUACCCGCAUAAGAAGCACCGGCUAACUACGUGCCAGCAGCCGCGGUAAUACGUAGGGUGCAAGCGUUAAUCGGAAUUACUGGGCGUAAAGCGUGCGCAGGCGGUUUUGUAAGUCAGAUGUGAAAUCCCCGGGCUCAACCUGGGAACUGCAUUUGAGACUGCAAGGCUAGAGUGUGGCAGAGGGGGGUGGAAUUCCACGUGUAGCAGUGAAAUGCGUAGAGAUGUGGAGGAACACCGAUGGCGAAGGCAGCCCCCUGGGCCAAUACUGACGCUCAUGCACGAAAGCGUGGGGAGCAAACAGGAUUAGAUACCCUGGUAGUCCACGCCCUAAACGAUGUCAACUAGGUGUUGGGAGGGUUAAACCUCUUAGUGCCGUAGCUAACGCGUGAAGUUGACCGCCUGGGGAGUACGGCCGCAAGGCUAAAACUCAAAGGAAUUGACGGGGACCCGCACAAGCGGUGGAUGAUGUGGAUUAAUUCGAUGCAACGCGAAAAACCUUACCUACCCUUGACAUGUCAGGAAUCCCGGAGAGAUUUGGGAGUGCUCGAAAG
rnacentral:rRNA from 1 species